rnacentral:tRNA from 1 species
GGCCUCGUAGCUCAGUUGGCUAGAGCUUAGUUGUACUAAAGCCUUCCCCUUAAUGGCGUGGGUUCAAAUCCCACCGAGGUCG